rnacentral:rRNA from 1 species
UUGCUGUCACUUAUAGAUGGAUCCGCGCUGCAUUAGCUAGUUGGUAAGGUAACGGCUUACCAAGGCAACGAUGCAUAGCCGACCUGAGAGGGUGAUCGGCCACACUGGAACUGAGACACGGUCCAGACUCCUACGGGAGGCAGCAGUAGGGAAUCUUCCGCAAUGGGCGAAAGCCUGACGGAGCAACGCCGCGUGAGUGAUGAAGGUCUUCGGAUCGUAAAACUCUGUUAUUAGGGAAGAACAUAUGUGUAAGUAACUGUGCACAUCUUGACGGUACCUAAUCAGAAAGCCACGGCUAACUACGUGCCAGCAGCCGCGGUAAUACGUAGGUGGCAAGCGUUAUCCGGAAUUAUUGGGCGUAAAGCGCGCGUAGGCGGUUUUUUAAGUCUGAUGUGAAAGCCCACGGCUCAACCGUGGAGGGUCAUUGGAAACUGGAAAACUUGAGUGCAGAAGAGGAAAGUGGAAUUCCAUGUGUAGCGGUGAAAUGCGCAGAGAUAUGGAGGAACACCAGUGGCGAAGGCGACUUUCUGGUCUGUAACUGACGCUGAUGUGCGAAAGCGUGGGGAUCAAACAGGAUUAGAUACCCUGGUA